rnacentral:rRNA from 1 species
UACUCUUGGGAUGGACCUGCGGUGCAUUAGCUAGUUGGUAGGGUAACGGCCUACCAAGGCGAUGAUGCAUAGCCGAGUUGAGAGACUGAUCGGCCACAUUGGGACUGAGACACGGCCCAAAACUCCUACGGGGAGGCAGCAGUAGGGAAAUCUUCCACAAUGGACGCAAGUCUGAUGGAGCAACGCCGCGUGAGUGAAGAAGGGUUUCGGCUCGUAAAGCUCUGUUGUUGGUGAAGAAGGACAGGGGUAGUAACUGACCUUUGUUUGACGGUAAUCAAUUAGAAAGUCACGGCUAACUACGUGCCAGCAGCCGCGGGUAAU